GACGAACGCCGGCGGCGUGCUUAACACAUGCAAGUCGAACGGAAAGGCCCUGCUUUUGUGGGGUGCUCGAGUGGCGAACGGGUGAGUAACACGUGAGUAACCUGCCCUUGACUUUGGGAUAACUUCAGGAAACUGGGGCUAAUACCGGAUAGGAGCUCCUGCUGCAUGGUGGGGGUUGGAAAGUUUCGGCGGUUGGGGAUGGACUCGCGGCUUAUCAGCUUGUUGGUGGGGUAGUGGCUUACCAAGGCUUUGACGGGUAGCCGGCCUGAGAGGGUGACCGGCCACAUUGGGACUGAGAUACGGCCCAGACUCCUACGGGAGGCAGCAGUGGGGAAUAUUGCACAAUGGGCGGAAGCCUGAUGCAGCAACGCCGCAUGCGGGAUGACGGCCUUCGGGUUGUAAACCGCUUUCGCCUGUGACGAAGCGUGAGUGACGGUAAUGGGUAAAGAAGCACCGGCUAACUACGUG
rnacentral:rRNA from 1 species